rnacentral:lncRNA from 1 species
GGAAAAUGGGGAGCAGGAGGCUGACAAUGAGGUAGACGAAGAAGAGGAAGAAGGUGGGGAGGAAGAGGAGGAGGAAGAAGAAGGUGAUGGUGAGGAAGAGGAUGGAGAUGAAGAUGAGGAAGCUGAGUCAGCUACGGGCAAGCGGGCAGCUGAAGAUGAUGAGGAUGACGAUGUCGAUACCAAGAAGCAGAAGACCGACGAGGAUGACUAGACAGCAAAAAAGGAAAAGUUAAACUAAAAAAAAAAAGGCCGCCGUGACCUAUUCACCCUCCACUUCCCGUCUCAGAAUCUAAACGUGGUCACCUUCGAGUAGAGAGGCCCGCCCGCCCACCGUGGGCAGUGCCACCCGCAGAUGACACGCGCUCUCCACCACCCAACCCAAACCAUGAGAAUUUGCAACAGGGGAGGAAAAAAGAACCAAAACUUCCAAGGCCCUGCUUUUUUUCUUAAAAGUACUUUAAAAAGGAAAUUUGUUUGUAUUUUUUAUUUACAUUUUAUAUUUUUGUACAUAUUGUUAGGGUCAGCCAUUUUUAAUGAUCUCGGAUGACCAAACCAGCCUUCGGAGCGUUCUCUGUCCUACUUCUGACUUUACUUGUGGUGUGACCAUGUUCAUUAUAAUCUCAAAGGAGAAAAAAAACCUUGUAAAAAAAGCAAAAAUGACAACAGAAAAACAAUCUUAUUCCGAGCAUUCCAGUAACUUUUUUGUGUAUGUACUUAGCUGUACUAUAAGUAGUUGGUUUGUAUGAGAUGGUUAAAAAGGCCAAAGAUAAAAGGUUUCUUUUUUUUUCCUUUUUUGUCUAUGAAGUUGCUGUUUAUUUUUUUUGGCCUGUUUGAUGUAUGUGUGAAACAAUGUUGUCCAACAAUAAACAGGAAUUUUAUUUUGCUGAGUUGUUCUAAC